AAAAUAAAAAAGAUAAAAAAAAAUACAACCAUGAAAAAUCUCAAAAUUGUGUUUGGAUUUACAAUAAUUUUUAUCAUCUUAGCAAAUGCUAUUGGAGCAAAUAUUAGUAUAAGUAAAAUAACUUGCAAAGGCUUAUGUAGACUUACAUGUAUAAGUUCUACUCAACUUGAUUUUUGCAUUGAUGUAUGCAUGAAAAGAUGCACAAUUCAUAGUGUUUAUGAAGCUAUGAUCAAUAACACUAGUUGUUAUGAGCAAUGCUCCAACACCUUCUCAGAUGAAAAGAAAAUGGGAGGCUGCUAUGAUGAUUGCACAGCCAAAUAUAACAAGUCAAAAAGGAGUAAUGUAACUAAUGUUUAAUGUCCACCAUCAAAUCAAUCAAAUAUGAAAUAAUAAUUAUGUUAUGAUAUGAAGAACUA